UGGAAAAUCCACAUGGUAGAC
rnacentral:siRNA from 1 species